AGCUCCAAUAGCACAUAUUAAAGUUGUUGCAGUUAAAAAAACUCGUAGUUGAAUUUCUGGUGGGAGGGAUCGGUCAAUCACUCUGUGUGGGAACUUGUAUCCUCUCCGGCCAUCCUUGGGUGGAUUUGUUCUGGCAUUAAAUUAUCAGUCAGGGGAUGCCCAUCUCUUACUGUUAAAAAAUUAGAAUGUUCAAAGCAUCUUUAUGCCAUUGAAUAUGCUAGCAUAAAAUAAUAAGAUAGGGCUCUGGUACUAUUUUGUUGGUUUGCGUACCGAGGUAAUGAGUAAUAGGGAUAGUUGGGGGGUAUUUGUAUUCAGUAUUCAGUGGUGAAAUACUUAGACCUACGGAAGAAAAACUGCUGCAAAAGAAUUUAUCAAGGAUGUUUUCA
rnacentral:rRNA from 1 species